CGACCGCUGGCGGCAUGCCUACCACAUGCAAGUCGACCGAGACCUUCGGGUCUAGUGGCGCACGGGUGCGUAACGCGUGGGAACCUGCCCUUAGGUUCGGAAUAACUCCCCGAAAGGGGUGCUAAUACCGGAUAAUGUCUUCGGACCAAAGAUUUAUCGCCUUUGGAUGGGCCCGCGUUGGAUUAGCUAGUUGGUAGGGUAAAAGCCUACCAAGGCGACGAUCCAUAGCUGGUCUGAGAGGAUGAUCAGCCACACUGGGACUGAGACACGGCCCAGACUCCUACGGGAGGCAGCAGUGGGGAAUAUUGGACAAUGGGCGAAAGCCUGAUCCAGCAAUGCCGCGUGAGUGAUGAAGGCCUUAGGGUUGUAAAGCUCUUUUACCCGGGAUGAUAAUGACAGUACCGGGAGAAUAAGCUCCGGCUAACUCCGUG
rnacentral:rRNA from 1 species